rnacentral:lncRNA from 1 species
AGACAUCUGAGAAGUGGGUUAGGGGAGAAACGUGGCACAGCGGGGGCCUGGCAGGAGAGGACUCAGAUACCAAAUUAGAGGGAAGAAGAAGGCCUGCCCUAGAGGCCAGUAGGAGCUGAGCAAAAGGAAUCCUAAGUCCAAGAGAGGAGCAGAGGACCUGGCCGCCAGCUCCACCCUCCCUCCCAGGGCCAAAUUUAGCCUGGGCUUAGAAGCUGCGGCCCAGCCAGCUCAUUAAAGGGCCCACGACCCUUUGGGCCUGUGCUGUCAGACCCACCCGGGCCCUAGGACACCUCCAGCCCUCAGAGCUCCCAGCCCCUUCAUCCCAGAGCCCAGCUCCCAGCCCCAUUCCCUGGAUCCCCAGCUGGCCAUGGCAUUAACACCCCAAAGCCCUUCUGGCGCCUGCCUCACCCAACCCAGAUCCCUCUUCUGUGGGCCCUCCACACCUCCGUCUUACCACCCCUAAAUCCUGCCCCCUCAUCCUGGGCCUCCCCGCUGAACAAGGCCCCAACUUGCCCACGAGGAGAGGAGUCCAGAAGAGUGUCUCAGCCAUGGCUGCCCGGCCUGGCCCGCCCGGUGUGGACGUUUAUGCAAUUCUGGAAGGUCUCCUGGUGGGGACCCCUGGGAAAGAGACUAAUAAGAAAGCAUCCAGUUUCUUCGGUCUCUGACGUUGUUGUCUGCACAAGAGAGUUAAGGCAGCCAUCUUGGGACCAUGAGGGAGCCAGUCUAAGAGGCAAAUCAACACAAUGAGAGGGUGUUGGAAAAAGACAAAAAGAACCUGGUCCUUGAUGUCACAGCCAGGCCUCUGAAUUAACCACCCCCAGGACUUCUUGUUACGUGAGCUAAUAAACGUUCCUUUUUGCUUAAACCCCUUCUAGUUGGGCUUUCUGUUGUAACUUGCACCGAAAACUACAAUAGGAUAGCAAAGGAUAUGAACAUAAGUGAUUUGCCUAGAGGAAACCCACAUGGUCAAUGAGAAUAAGAUGCUCAGCCUCAUAGGCAGGGAAUGCAGCUUCAAAUGAGAUGCCACUUCAUGCCUAUCAGAUUGGCAAACAUAAGUCUAACAAGAGCAAAAGUUGGC